AGAGUUUGAUCAUGGCUCAGAUUGAACGCUGGCGGAAUGCUUUACACAUGCAAGUCGAGCGGCAGCGCGGCCUUCGGGCUGGCGGCGAGCGGCGAACGGGUGAGUAAUGCAUCGGAACAUGCCCAGUCGUGGGGGAUAACACUUCGAAAGAAGUGCUAAUACCGCAUACGUCCUGAGGGGGAAAGCGGGGGAUCGCAAGACCUCGCGCGAUUGGAGUGGCCGAUGUCAGAUUAGCUAGUUGGUGGGGUAAAGGCCUACCAAGGCGACGAUCUGUAGCUGGUCUGAGAGGAUGAUCAGCCACACUGGGACUGAGACACGGCCCAGACUCCUACGGGAGGCAGCAGUGGGGAAUUUUGGACAAUGGGGGCAACCCUGAUCCAGCCAUUCCGCGUGAGUGAAGAAGGCCUUCGGGUUGUAAAGCUCUUUCGGCAGGAACGAAACGGUGGGCUCUAACAUAGUCCGCUAAUGACGGUACCUGAAGAAGAAGCACCGGCUAACUACGUGCCAGCAGCCGCGGUAAUAC
rnacentral:rRNA from 1 species